UGUAAUAUUUUAAUUUGUAAUUUUGCUCCAUUUGACAUGAUGGCAUAGCACAGUUAUGUGACAGCUAUGAUGAGAAUCUGAUAUCUGGUGAAUGUGAAGACCACUAGAGUAUAGUGAACUCAUUGUCAUGUUCAAGAAAGCAGCUUGAUUUGCUGGAA